CAGGCAUCUAUGACUGAAAGCCCAGUGAUAUACAGUGCUGUGACUUUUAAAAAUAAAAAGUCUUCAUCUGCUUUGGAUCAUGAAAAUGACGUCAUCUACAGCAGCGUAACCACAACAACCAAAAAGAAAACUCUCUCUCAGGCAGUCAGAGAUGAUGAAGUGAUCUACAGCUCUGUGGUUUUGGAGUGAGAGGUGUAAGCGAGUGUGUUGCUGGCCAGGUCUCUUACAAUGAAGAUACUGCAAUGCAAGACAUCUUACAAUGAAUUUGUACUAUAUCUCAUAUAAUUAUGAGGAAAAUGGUUUUGUUCUAAGACUUUAGCUUAAGGUUUUUACUUCCUCUUGAUUCACACUUUCUAUCUGUAAAAAGCCCUUUAGAAUUACCUGCAGCUACACUGCUUAUACAAAUGUAAAGUUAAAGGAAUGGAUUGCUGAAAAAUGUCGUCGACAAGUUUUGUGUCCAAAUACUGUUUCUUUAGUUUAGCUCAGGAGCUACAAGGUUAAUAU